rnacentral:lncRNA from 1 species
UUUCCUUUCUCUCUCUCUCUCUCUCUCCCUGUUUAACACUUUUUUCGUUUAAUUUUUACAAUUUGUUCAAGAGCGUAUGAGAAUCACUGAUUGCUCUCGUAUGUUUGGAAUCGACUUGCCGGUAAUAACGCCAUUCUGUACGUAAGAUUUCAUCAUGAAUGUUUUUUCAAAAAGCUUGAGUAAAACGUGUUUAUCGACUGAAUGGUUAGAUUAUAUGUGCAAGAUGUUUACAAUUUAGCAUCAUUUAUACCCGCAUUAUAAGGGACCUGAGCCAGAUAAACAUAGAGGAACGGGAAAUAUCGCCGAAGCGGUCGCGGCGUGCGUUGUUUUAGGAAGGGAUGCGCGCGCACAAUGGCCACGUAUAACAUCACGCGACAUAGAAAAAGAAUCGAGAGAGACAACCAAGACGAAGUACGAAAGUAUUGCUGUUUAAAUUUAUGUGAAGAUGUGCACGGUGAAAUAAAAUACGAAGAAAGAAGAUAAAAAAUACGGGAAAGAGAAACGACAAACAUUUCUCGUGUUUUAUAGUAGUUCAAACGUAGGCAUAUACACAUACAAAUGCAUUUAUAUACGUAGUUUUUAUGCUACGCGCAGACUCGUGUCGGCCAUCGAAGUUUGUUUUCAAUCGGCCGACAUCGCGUGAACUUGUUGCCCGUAUAAUCUGUAUGGUAUUGCGUCCUUAUUUAAUGAUAAGAAAGUGAAAAAUAGACGAUAAAAAUCAAUCGAGACAAGAGGUGAGGACAUAUUUGCCAUAGCAAGGCAACUGCGUAUCUUGUGCUGCGUGGUGAAGUUAAAGCAGAACUAUCACGGUAUAGUAUGGACGCGUAGUACGUUACGUAAUUCACCGGCUGCUUUGAACGAGAUUCGUUCGUCUCUUCUCUCUUAUAACUCUCACUUAUAAAUUUAUAUUUUUACGAAAAUAAUAGCUUAUAUACACAUACAUACAUACAUAUAUACAUACAUAUAUAUAUAUAUAAAGAAUAGAUUAAUAAAUUUAGCAAUGGAUCAUGGUGAUUCGAACUAAUUUAAAAUAAUAGGUUAUAAAAAUACGAUAAAAUAUUAUAACGAGCUGUGAGCUUGGAAGAUAAUUUUUAAUAUACCGAUAUGUAUAUGAUUGUAUCGAUAGGAUGAUUUAUACGAUACGAAUAUACAUACAUGUGAUAAAGAAUAUUAACAUAUAAAAGAAGAUUGUAAAUAUUAUAUUGGAGAAGAAAUGUAAAAUAAAUAUGACUUUUUUUAUUUUUGUUAUUCAUUCGUGGUUAUGUAAAUUUGUUAUUUAAAAAACGAUGUUUUGAGAAAGAAAUUACCGGCAGAUAAAUUUUUUGACAAACUGGUCGAUUCAUAAGCAGCUGAGGUGAAAGGAGUGAGAACGAUCUUCGAACGAUUCUUCAUGUAGCACGUGUAUCCAUAAUUCAAGGUUAAAUAAUGGGACGCACAAAAGGUUCUCCUUGUUUAAGGUUUUCCGUAUGACAAUUAAUUUUAAAUAAUUGUUUUAUCACGCAUACAUUUCGUGUGAGACAUCGAACGUUCCACAUAUUUUUACUUGAAUGGAAAAUUUAUUUGAAUCUUGAAAAAUGACAGAAAUCGUUCAAUUUCGAGAUCACGUACCAUGUGAAAUUGAAUCAUGUGCACUGGCGAGAUGGAACACGAUUGGAUAUUACCGACAAAGAAUCAUGAACAUCGUAAACAACGGAACAUGUUAAUGCGCAUGCGCGUACGUAAUGUUUACUCUUUGUAACAAGUAGUAUGUAUGUAUAUUGUAUGUAUGUAUGUAGUACGUAUAUAUAUUGUAUGUAUGCAUGUAGUAUGUAUAUUAAAUUGUAAUAAUAAUCAUGUGUAUAAUUGUUGUAAUGAAAUUUAUCGAAAACGAGAACAACAGAAAGAAUGAACGAUCAUCCGAUGUAAUGAAAAAAGAGAAUAGAAGAUAAUAAACAAAAAGAAUAUUAUUUUAUUGGAUCAUGUACCAAUAAAUAUCCGAUCUGGUAUAUCUUUAUAACGAAAUGCGGAUAUAAGCUGAUUCAUUUAUUAUUAUUUCGCACACUGCAAAAGAAAUAUUAUCAUUGAUAGCGAACGAUAUCGGUAAAUUGUACGCACUAAUAAACAUUCGAUCUGCUAGAUUUUUAUGAUGCAACGAUAUAUGGAAACAAGCUGAUUCAUUUAUCGACUAUUCCAUGUUAUAUCAGCAUGGAAUCGCGGCGGAAUUAGUUGCAAAUCCAUGGUGUCGAGCGAAUUGGUAGAGGUCAUCGACCAUUAUAUAUCGUACUCUUUCCAGCAUUUGUCCGCUAUGCUUAUUUCUGGAUAUCGCCUGGGUCAUCUACCGUAUGGCCUCGUGGGUCAUACGCGCGGUUCAAUGUUGCUUUAGUUAAACGCUUCAAGGUAAAUUGAACACCUUCACAAAUCUGUUCUAAGAUUGUACAAUCAAAAUGGACGGUAACAAAUGGUAGUAAGUAAGAGAAUUAUGAAACAGAAUUCGAUCGUUUUUUACGAGAGAGGAGAAAGAUUUGAGAAAAAUUGGUGAAAUUAUGUUACACGGGAAAAAGGCAACGAAUUUAGCUGACCCAAGAGAAAGAUUGGUGUGUUACAUAAUUCAUGCCAAAUUUCUUACGAUACUAUAUUCAUUGUAUUUCCACAUUCCUCCAUGAAGAUGGAUUAAAAGUUCGAAUUAGUGAAACAUCGAGCCUAACUACAUAUAUAUUAUCCGACAGUUAUACUGGUAUGUAAUCUUGAUUUUAUUAAAUUUAUUAUGAAUUAUAUGAUAUUAUCCAUCUCCUUUUCGUUUGAAUAAAAAUGACAA